rnacentral:ncRNA from 1 species
AAAAGGUUUGGUCCUGACCUUAAUAUUAAUUAGAACUAAAUUUAUACAUGCAAGCCUCCACACUCCUGUGAAAACGCCCAUAAUUCCCUUUCAAAAACAAAGGAGCUGGUAUCAGGCACCAAAAAGCCCAUAACACCUCAUUGAAUCACACCUACACAGAAAUUCAGCAGUAAUAUACAUUAAACCAUGAGUGAAAACUUGAUUUAGUGAUAGUUUGUUAAAGUCGGUAAACCUCGUGCCAGCCACCGCGGUUAUACGAAGGACUUAAAUUAAUAUUAGCAGCCCAAAGGGUGGUUUAAUAUGUUACAUAAUAAAAUUAAAAAAGUUUUUGGCUGUCAUACGCAAAAUAAUCAUAAAUUCAAAAACGAAAGUUAUUUUAUACAUAAUUGAAUCUACGACAGUUAAGAAACAAACUAGGAUUAGAUACCCUACUAUGCUUUAUUUUAAACUUUGGAGCCCCUCGCUAGAGUACUACAAGCUGUAGCCUAAAACUCAAAGGACUUGGCGGUGCUUUACUCCCACCUAGAGGAGCCUGUUCUAUAAUCGAUAAUCCCCGCUAAACCUCACCUUUUUUUGCUAAUUCAGCCUAUAUACCACCGCCUCAGCUUACCACCUAAGAGAACAAAAGUAAGCAAAAUAAUUCUAAAUAAAAAAGUCAGGUCAAGGUGUAGCAUAUAAAAUGGAAAGAGAUGGGCUACAUUUUUAAAAUUAAAAACACGGAAUAUGAUAUGAAAUAAAAUAUAAAGGAGGAUUUAGAAGUAAAAAGAAAAAAGAGUGUUCUUUUUAAAUUGGCAAUAAAGCGCGCACACACCGCCCGUCACCCUCUUUAAAAAAUAACAAGUUAAAUAAAUAUAACAGCUCAUAAAAAGAGGAAAGUCGUAACAUGGUAAGUCUACCGGAAGGUGGCCUUGGAUA